CGGAGGGAAACCGAGUCUUAACCGGGCGUUAAGUUGCAGGGUAUAGACCCGAAACCCGGUGAUCUAGCCAUGGGCAGGUUGAAGGUUGGGUAACACUAACUGGAGGACCGAACCGACUAAUGUUGAAAAAUUAGCGGAUGACCUGUGGCUGGGGGUGAAAGGCCAAUCAAACCGGGAGAUAGCUGGUUCUCCCCGAAAGCUAUUUAGGUAGCGCCUCGUGAAUUCAUCUCCGGGGGUAGAGCACUGUUUCGGCUAGGGGGCCAUCCCGGCUUACCAACCCGAUGCAAACUGCGAAUACCGGAGAAUGUUAUCACGGGAGACACACGGCGGGUGCUAACGUCUGUCGUGAAGAGGGAAACAACCCAGACCGCCAGCUAAGGUCCCAAAGUCAUGGUUAAGUGGGAAACGAUGUGGGAAGGCCCAGACAGCCAGGAUGUUGGCUUAGAAGCAGCCAUCAUUUAAAGAAAGCGUAAUAGCUCACUGGUCGAGUCGGCCUGCGCGGAAGAUGUAACGGGGCUAAACCAUGCACCGAAGCUGCGGCAGCGAACGUAUCACCCAAGACAACUUUACGGAGUUAACGAUUGACGGAGCGAAGCGACGUCAAAGCGUUCAUUAAAGUCGAGUUGGCUUAGGGAUACGUUCGUUGGGUAGGGGAGCGUUCUGUAAGCCUGUGAAGGUGGCCUGUGAGGGUUGCUGGAGGUAUCAGAAGUGCGAAUGCUGACAUAAGUAACGAUAAAGCGGGUGAAAAGCCCGCUCGCCGGAAGACCAAGGGUUCCUGUCCAACGUUAAUCGGGGCAGGGUGAGUCGACCCCUAAGGCGAGGCCGAAAGGCGUAGUCGAUGGGAAACGGGUUAAUAUUCCCGUACUUGGUGUUACUGCGAAGGGGGGACGGAGAAGGCUAUGUUGGCCGGGCGACGGUUGUCCCGGUUUAAGCGUGUAGGCUGGUUUUCCAGGCAAAUCCGGAAAAUCAAGGCUGAGGCGUGAUGACGAGGCACUACGGUGCUGAAGCAACAAAUGCCCUGCUUCCAGGAAAAGCCUCUAAGCAUCAGGUAACAUCAAAUCGUACCCCAAACCGACACAGGUGGUCAGGUAGAGAAUACCAAGGCGCUUGAGAGAACUCGGGUGAAGGAACUAGGCAAAAUGGUGCCGUAACUUCGGGAGAAGGCACGCUGACA
rnacentral:rRNA from 1 species